AAUUAAUUUAUGAUGCAUAUGUAUGAAAUGGUGCGAUGGACGCACAGGUGAGUAUUUAUUUCUGUUAUGAUAAUGUUGAUGUAUAUUGAGCUCAAAUCCUGCACCAUAGUUUAGUGCUUAUAGUAUUCACCGCAUCGCACGCUCGUCUUGGAUCCAAGUAGAUGCUAGUCGUACAGUCCACGCGGAGUGGGUACGACAGGCCAGUCGCGAAAGUGUUAGUGAGAUUCCGACUGGUGGGUGACCUUAGAUUAUGUGCACAGAUGAUUGAUGAGAAAGCACUAGAGCGUAACUUGUGUGCAGAAGGCCGAACAGGUCACGCGGAGUGACUCCGGCAGAGUGUGAGAGUGAUAGAUUUUGAGCUCUAGGUUCAACCGGGCUAAUAGAGGGCCUCCGGUUGAUUACUUUAUUGCACCUGAUAUGAUUUAUGUUGAUGCAUUCAUACCUUAUUACUGUUGAGAUGAUGUGGCAUGGCAUAAUUAAUAUGAGAAAUGUUGAGAUGAUGUGGCAUGGCAUAAUUAUGAUGAAAAUGUUGAGUUAAUGAAUUGAAGUAUUGAGAAUAUAUAUAUGUAUAUUUAUAUUUUAUAUUUCUGGGAAAGUAUACAGGUUUUACGGAGAGGGGUU
rnacentral:lncRNA from 1 species